rnacentral:rRNA from 1 species
CACGUAGGGUGCGAGCGGUGUCCGGAAUUAUUGGGCGUAAAGAGCUCGUAGGCGGUGUGUCGCGUCGGCCGUGAAAACCUGCAGCUUAACUGUGGGCUUGCGGUCGAUACGGGCAUCACUGGAGUUCGGCAGGGGAGACUGGAAUUCCUGGUGUAGCGGUGAAAUGCGCAGAUAUCAGGAGGAACACCGGUGGCGAAGGCGGGUCUCUGGGCCGAUACUGACGCUGAGGAGCGAAAGCGUGGGGAGCAAACAGG